rnacentral:rRNA from 1 species
UUAUUGGGCGUAAACCGAGCGCAGAGCGGUUUUUUAAGUCUGAUGUGAAAGCCUUCGGCUCAACCGAAGAAGUGCAUCGGAAACUGGGAAACUUGAGUGCAGAAGAGGACAGUGGAACUCCAUGUGUAGCGGUGAAAUGCGUAGAUAUAUGGAAGAACACCAGUGGCGAAGGCGGCUGUCUGGUCUGUAACUGACGCUGAGGCUCGAAAGUAUGGGUAGCAAACAGGAUUAGAUACCCUGGUAGUCCAUACCGUAAACGAUGAAUGCUAAGUGUUGGAGGGUUUCCGCCCUUCAGUGCUGCAGCUAACGCAUUAAGCAUUCCGCCUGGGGAGUACGGCCGCAAGGCUGAAACUCAAAGGAAUUGACGGGGGCCCGCACAAGCGGUGGAGCAUGUGGUUUAAUUCGAAGCUACGCGAANAACCUUACCAGGNCUAGACAUACUAUGCAUAUCUAA